GUUCAGCUGUGCUGGGCGUCUGAUCUUCCUUCCAAGACCGCUCGCCAGGGAGCCCCGCGGGUUUCAGCUUCCACUCAAAAACGAGAAAAGAGGGCCACAGCAAAAGAGACCUGCUCAAGUUCACAGACCAUGGCAAUGUCUGGAACCCAGGACUCCACUCCCAGUUUAAUCCUUCUCCCAACCCGAAUUCAUCUUGAGAGUUCAUAAAGAUGUGUUCCUGGAAUGUCUUCACCAGAUGUUUACCCAAGAAAUUACAGUCGCAGAGUCUUCAACAUGUGCGUGCAUUUUGACAGCAGCAUUUAAGAUCUGAACUCAAUUAAUGAUUUUCUUGUCCUUCUUUUAUUAAAAAAAUGAAAGGAUGGGGGCAUGUUAGUUUUGCCUGCAAGUGAGUCUUUACCGAGUCUGCGUUAACGUCACUCACUCACUCUGCGACGUGCUAGUCUCACAGUCUAGUUUUGUUCAGACUUUAUUUUGCUCCAAGCUGCCUUACAAGCCGCUUGUCCACGCUGCAAAAGGUGGGGGUAGUGGUUGGGGUGAGGGGCUCUUUGGCUCUUUUUCCCCCCGGUUCCUAUA